GCCCUUCCUACGGGAGGCAGCAGUGAGGAAUAUUGGUCAAUGGCGGAAGCCUGAACCAGCCAUGCCGCGUGCGGGAAGAAGGCGCUACGCGUCGUAAACCGCUUUUGUCCGGGGGUAACCGCGGGGACGUGUCCCCGCCUGCAAGUACCGGACGAAUAAGGGUCGGCUAACUCCGUGCCAGCAGCCGCGGUAAUACGGAGGACCCGAGCGUUAUCCGGAUUCAUUGGGUUUAAAGGGUGCGUAGGCGGCCCGGUAAGUCAGCGGUGAAAGGCUCCUGCUCCACAGGAGAGCUGCCGUUGAUACUGCUGGGCUAGAAUCUUAGCGAGGCGGGCGGAAUGCGCGGUGUAGCGGUGAAAUGCAUAGAUAUCGCGCAGAACGCCGAUUGGGGAGCCAGCUCGCCAGCUGAGUCUUGACGCUGAGGCACGAAAGCGUGGGGAUCGAACAGGAUUAGAUACCCUGGUAGUCCACGCCGUAAACGAUGAUGGCUCGCUCUUGGUUCGCAAGGAUCAGGGGCUUAGCGAAAGCGUUAAGCCAUCCACCUGGGGAGUACGCCGGCAACGGUGAAACUCAAAGGAAUUGACGGAAGGGC
rnacentral:rRNA from 1 species